rnacentral:rRNA from 1 species
UGGCCGUUGUACUCUGACUGUGCAAAGGUAGCAUAAUCAUUAGUCUUUUAAUUGAAGGCUUGUAUGAAUGGUUGGACGAAGAAUAAACUGUUUCAUAUAAAUUUAUAAUAAAAUUUUAUUUUUUAGUAAAAAAGCUAAAAUUUUAUUAAAAGACGAGAAGACCCUAUAAAUCUUUAUAUUUUAAUAUAAUUAUAUAUUAUAAAUAAUUUAAGUUUAAUUAAAUUAAAAUAUUUUAUUGGGGUGAUAUUAAAAUUUAAAAAACUUUUAAUUAAAAUUACACAUUAAUUUAUGAUUUAUUGAUCCAUUAAUAAUGAUUAUAAGAAUAAGUUACUUUAGGGAUAACAGCGUAAUUUUUUUGGAGAGUUCUUAUUAAUAAAAAAGUUUGCGACCUCGAUGUUGGAUUAAGAAAUAAUUUUAGGUGAAGAAGCUUAAAUAUUAAGUCUGUUCGACUUUUAAAUUCUUCCAUGAUCUGAGUUCAGCCCGGUGUAAGCCAGGUUGGUUUCUAUCUUUAAUUUUUUUUAAUAUUUUAGUCCGAAAGGCCCAAAUAUUAGAUUAAUAAUAAUUUAUUAUUUUGAAUAAAAAUAAAUU